rnacentral:rRNA from 1 species
CUUAGGAGACCGCCUCGGUUAACGGGGAGGAAGGUGGGGAUGACGUCAAGUCCCUCAUGGCCUUUAUGCCCAGGGCUACACACGUACUACAAUGGCCGGUACAGAGCGAAGCAAGACCGCAAGGUGGAGCAAAUCGCAGAAAGCCGGCCCCAGUUCAGAUUGAGGGGCUGAAACCCGCCCUCAUGAAGUCGGAAUCGCUAGUAAUCGCGUAUCAGCAGGUCGCGGUGAAUACGUUCCCGGGUCUU